UACGGAGGGUGCAAGCAUUAAUCGGAUUUAUUGGGCGUAAAGGGCGCGUAGGCGGGAGUACAAGUCAGAUGUGAAAUCCCGAUGCUCAACAUCGGAACUGCAUUUGAAACUGUAUUUCUAGAGGGUAGGCGGAGAAAAUGGAAUUCCACGUGUAGCGGUGAAAUGCGUAGAUAUGUGGAAGAACACCAGUGGCGAAGGCGAUUUUCUAGCUUAUUCCUGACGCUAAGGCGCGAAAGCAAGGGGAGCGAACAGGAUUAGAUACCCCUGUA
rnacentral:rRNA from 1 species